UACGAAGGGGGCUAGCGUUGUUCGGAUUUACUGGGCGUAAAGCGCACGUAGGCGGGUCGUUAAGUCGGGGGUGAAAUCCUGGAGCUCAACUCCAGAACUGCCCUUCGAUACUGGCGACCUAGAGUCCGGAAGAGGUGAGUGGAACUCCUAGUGUAGAGGUGGAAUUCGUAGAUAUUAGGAAGAACACCAGUGGCGAAGGCGGCUCACUGGUCCGGUACUGACGCUGAGGUGCGAAAGCGUGGGGAGCAAACAGG
rnacentral:rRNA from 1 species